rnacentral:rRNA from 1 species
GAUGAACGCUGGCGGCGUGCCUAAUACAUGCAAGUCGAGCGAACGGACGAGAAGCUUGCUUCUCUUAUGUUAGCGGCGGACGGGUGAGUAACACGUGGAUAACCUACCUAUAAGACUGGGAUAACUUCGGGAAACCGGAGCUAAUACCGGAUAAUAUUUUGAACCGCAUGGUUCAAAAGUGAAAGACGUUCUUGCUGUCACUUAUAGAUGGAUCCGCGCUGCAUUAGCUAGUUGGUAAGGUAACGGCUUACCAAGGCAACGAUGCAUAGCCGACCUGAGAGGGUGAUCGGCCACACUGGAACUGAGACACGGUCCAGACUCCUACGGGAGGCAGCAGUAGGGAAUCUUCCGCAAUGGGCGAAAGCCUGACGGAGCAACGCCGCGUGAGUGAUGAAGGUCUUCGGAUCGUAAAACUCUGUUAUUAGGGAAGAACAUAUGUGUAAGUAACUGUGCACAUCUUGACGGUACCUACUCAGAAAGCCACGGCUAACUACGUG